UAGAGACUUGUCUUUUCUAAACACAUUCA
rnacentral:piRNA from 1 species